rnacentral:rRNA from 1 species
UAUCUCUGUAGAGUCUGCAUAUCAAUAAGCGGAGGAAAAGAAACUAACUAGGAUUCCCUUAGUAACGGCGAGUGAAGCGGGAAGAGCUCAAAUUUGAAAUCUUCAAGGUUUUACCUUGACGAAUUGUAGUUUAAAGAAGUGUUUUCUGUUGGUGUUUUGGUAAAAGUUCUUUGGAAUAGGACAUCAUAGAGGGUGAGAAUCCCGUAUUUGACCGUUAUUUUCAGCUGUGUGAUACACUUUCAAAGAGUCGGAUUGUUUGGGAAUGCAGUCCAAAAUGGGUGGUAAAUUUCAUCUAAAGCUAAAUAUUGGCGAGAGACCGAUAGCGAACAAGUACCGUGAGGGAAAGAUGAAAAGAACUUUGAAAAGAGAGUUAAACAGUACGUGAAAUUGUCAAAAGGGAAGCGUUUGACACCAGUGUUGUUUUCUCGAAAAUCAAUUAAAAAUGGCUUGAUUUUGUGUUGUAUUGACCUUAAAAGCUUUCUUCACUUUUUUCAUGUCUUUUUUAAUGCACUUUUCGUUUAACAAGUCAACAUCAGUUUCUUUUGUUGUAAAAAGGUCAUUGGAAGGUGGCUUUCUUUUCGGAGAAAGUGUUUAUAGCCUUUGACUUCUGCAAUCGGAGAGACUGAGGUCUGCAGCGUAGAUCCUUCUGGAUUAGAUUCAUUUGUGCUAAGUUACAACCGUUUAUAGACAACUUGUUGACUAUAUUCGAUCCUGUAGCUUACUCGCUUAUGUAAUUUUACCUACGCUUAGGAUGUUGAUAUGCAUGACUGAUAU